UUUAAGCGCUGCUAUGAGUUUUUUUUUUCAACUUUCAUCGUCCGUCUUAUUUGAAUUUUUUUAUGAUUAGUAUUUUAUGUGUGACUUAUGUUUUUUAAUAUUUUCAUUUUUUUAAAUAAGAUGGACAAUUAAAGUUACUCAUGGCCGUGCUUAAA
rfam:Oryza nivara chromosome 6, whole genome shotgun sequence.